rnacentral:rRNA from 1 species
AUUGAACGCUGGCGGCAGGCCUAACACAUGCAAGUCGAACGGUAACAGGAAGAAGCUUGCUUCUUUGCUGACGAGUGGCGGACGGGUGAGUAAUGUCUGGGAAACUGCCUGAUGGAGGGGGAUAACUACUGGAAACGGUAGCUAAUACCGCAUAACGUCGCAAGACCAAAGAGGGGGACCUUCGGGCCUCUUGCCAUCGGAUGUGCCCAGAUGGGAUUAGCUAGUAGGUGGGGUAACGGCUCACCUAGGCGACGAUCCCUAGCUGGUCUGAGAGGAUGACCAGCCACACUGGAACUGAGACACGGUCCAGACGCCUACGGGAGGGAGCAGUGGGGAAUAUUGGACAGUGGGCGCGAGCCUGAUGCAGCCAUGCCGCGUGUAUGAAGAAGGCCUUCGGGUUGUAAAGUACGUUCAGCGGGGAGGAAGGGAGUAAAGUUAAUACCUUUGCUCAUUGACGUUACCCGCAGAAGAAGCACCGGCUAACUACGUG